rnacentral:rRNA from 1 species
GAUAAACGCUGGCGGCGUGCAUGAGACAUGCAAGUCGAACGAAGGAUCGGGCUUGCUCGAUCCUUAGUGGCGGACGGCUGAGUAACGCGUAGGUGACCUACCCCGAAGUGGGGAAUAACUGCCCGAAAGGGUGGCUAAUACCGCAUGUGGUCGCACGUUCAUUCGUGCGAGUAAAGCCGCAAGGCGCUUCGGGAGGGGCCUGCGUCCGAUUAGCUCGUUGGUGGGGUAAUGGCUUACCAAGGCGACGAUCGGUAGGUGGUCUGAGAGGACGAUCACCCAGACUGGGACUGAGACACGGCCCAGACUCCUACGGGAGGCAGCAGUCGGGAAUUUUGCUCAAUGAGGGAAACCCUGAAGCAGCAACGCCGCGUGAGGGAUGAAGGCCUUCGGGUUGUAAACCUCUUUUGUCAGGGACGAUGAUGACGGUACCUGGCGAAUAAGCCACGGCUAACUACGUG